GGUGGGUGGAUGGCUGGCAGACUGGCUGGCUGGAUGGGCAGAUAGCUGGAUGGGCAAAUAGAUGGGUGGAUGGAUAGAUGGAUGGAUGGAAGGUGCAUGGAUGUAUUAGUAGAUGGAAGGAAGGGAAAAAGGUAGAUAGGAAGGAAGGAUGGAUUAGUGAGUGAUUGAGUAGAUGAGAUAGGGAAAAUGUAACCCAAAUAGAUUUAAAAGCUUGAAGUCCAUUUAAGUACAACUGUUUUGCCUGCAGUGGGGAGGUUGCAAUUGAUUUUGUGAUAAAACCAAAGGAAGUUGUGAUGUAAAAUAUAAAGGAAAACACUCAGAAGACAGAAAGUAAGGAAGGCUGGGAGAAAAUCAUUGUAGCAGAAAAGGCCUGAGCUUUGAAGACAAGAUGUUAUCUUGAAGGCUUGUUUGGAAGUUUUGGAGGGGAGCAUCUGACCCUCUGUCAACUGAAUCCCAGUGUGGAAGGCCUGACCUUUCUAGACUUUGGACUUGGUGUCUGUGCUUUGUCUUCCAGGUAUCUGGAUCUCAGCUUUCUCUGGGACUCAUGCACCAGGCUCUCUGCUUUUCAGCCUCCAGGAUGCUGCAGACACAACAAGCAAGCAAGCCUCUGAAGAAUGUUUUGGUCUCCUCAAUGCUCUGAAAGAGUAUCCUGGUAUGGUGGGUGUCAGCUGGAUUUUCCAAGGAGCAUUGUGGUGCCAGUAUCCUAUUUCCCUCUUUUUCAUCCACCAACUCUUGGCAUAAGGAUGAAACGCUCCCAGAUCCCCAGGUGAUGUAGCCUUCAGGCAAUCAGAACAUAAUGUUCCUGUCCUAGCCACAAGGGAUGAAUUCAGUGAUGGCUACAUGACCUAAUGAGAACCCAAGUGAUGCAGUGAGAUGCUUACUGGGGCUUCCAGAAGAGAAUCCUAUUCCUGCCAGCUAGACUGGAAGCUGAGAGGAUGGGGUCCUGGAGGUCAGGAAGCUAUCUUGCAACAAUAUGGAGCCUAAGAUGGAAGUCCACGUGGUGCAAAACAGAACCCAAAAGAGGAAGAAAUUGAGUCCCAGUGAUACCAUUUGAGCCCUGAAUCCAGCAGGACCUGAAGUUGGACCUACCUCUGGAACUUUCAGCCUUGAAAACAAAUAAAGU